rnacentral:tRNA from 1 species
GGGGGUGUAGCUCAGUGGUAGAGCAUUUGACUGCAGGCCAAAAGGUCCCUGGUUUAAAUUCUUGUUUCCCCU